AUAAUUUUUAAUUUUUCUUAAAAUAUCAAACAUAACUUGCAUAAUAUUAAAUUAAAUUUAAAAUUGAUAGAUACGUGCAGUUACUGUGUGAGCAUAUGUGGAAGUGUAAGCUCAAAGCUGAAAACGACCGCGAACGAUACUAAAUAUUUACGUUCGUACUAAAAGGGCCGACAACCUGUAAAGUGAAAACCUACACUUUUCAAGAUAAGUCUUUAGAAAUAUCCUUUGCCGUCUAGAAAAUUACAGUCAGAAAUGCAGUAGCUUCUUCUUAAAAUCAUUUUCUCACUUUUGUCAACUUCAACUUUGUCAGGUGAUCUACCAAGGGUUGAGCUAGGAGAUCUCGCAGGAUAGUAGUGUUGCGCACAUACCAUGGUGCGCCUGAUAUAAUCCGGAGAGCCCUGUUUUCCACUGCUUGGGGUCUCUGCAUGUGGCGGGGUUGGAUGUCUGCCCAAGUGGGGGAGGCAUAGGUGAUAAUUGGGUGGAUGUACGUUUGGUAGAUUCGGAUCAUGGUCUUGCGUGAUAGUUUGUUCCUGUGGUGGAGCAGGGAGUAUAGGGACGAUAGUUGGCCUUUGGCUUUGCCAGCUCAGCCUUGGCGUGUUUUUCCCAGGUCAGCUUACAAUCGAAGAGUAUACCUAAAUAACGGGCCUGGACGGACCAGCCGAGAUUAUUGGUUCCCCAUUUCAGAUGGCCAGCAGGUGCAGAUAGGUGCAGAGGUGCAGGUGCUCUUUUCCUUUUUGAAAAGAACACUAGCUGGGUCUUCCUGGGGUUGACCUCCAGCGAUCCAUCCACGAGUGGAGGGAGUUUAGGUGUCUCUGAAUCCUGAUUUUAAUGUGCUGUUUGUUGGGAGAGGUGAGGAAGGUCGCGCAUAAAAACGUUGAAUAGGAGCGGGGACAGAGGGGAACCUUGGGAAACACCUGCUCUUAUUGGGAGGGGAGUGGAAACAAAACCGUCAGCACAAUCACGAAAGGAUCGGUUGGUCAAGAAGGAGUGGACAAGUUUUAUAAGGCGGUCGGGAAAAUGGGCAUCGACUAGUUUAUGCAAUAAACCAUCGUGCCACAUUUUGUCGAAGUCCUUGCUUAUGUCAUUUCUGCAAUAGGACGGAGUUAAGUUACAGGGCAAUUUGAAGAAAACUUCAAUUUUCCACAUUGCCUAGGUGCCCUGGAUGGGAAACACGAGUUAUGUGACCCAGUUCCAGUACAACCCGGACAUCGACCUUAAGGUUCUGAUGAAAGUGCUUAUUUUAUAUUAUUGUUAUGCCUAGUUUAUAUUAUUUUAUUAUACUAAUUAGCUUACGAUUAAUCGAUAUUAGAUAUAGAAAAACACUCCAUAAUUAAUUCUCGUCUUGAACGUAGUUAUUUUUUGAUUAUCAUAUUUAAUAAAAUUGGUUUUUUAAAAAGUGUAUUUUCAAUAUAAAAUACAUAACUGGCGCAGUCGGUCGUAACUCAGAAGAUCUUUUGGACACCUGUGUGUUUGGAAACCGUGUGCGAGAUUCCUGAAACCACAAAAUCCAAAAAUCGUUAGUUUUUACUAUUUACUGAGAAAAGAACCUAGAAGAAGUCACCGUUGCGACUUGAAGCAGCAUAAUCGUAAGUGAUCCUUCAUUCCUUCCUUAUUUUAAUAAUUAUUGUGAAAACUUUUAUUUUUUUUUCUUAAUUGUGCGAUAUAACAAAGUAUUUUCGUUUACUUUAAGAAUCUCAUUCUUUAUUUUUACCUACUUACAUUUUUGUAAAAUUGUGUAGGACCCUUUUUAAUUUUAGUUUUACUAUUUUAUUUUAAUAUUUCCGAAUUAUUUCAUAAUUAAUAUUAAUUGUUAUUUUGAUGUCACAGUCUGAUAUCGAUAAUUUAGCUCAUACUAUUGCAAAUAUCUCAUUAUCUUAAACGUGAAUUAGAUAAUAUGGCAACUAUCACAGCAGCUAAAGAAAUUGCAUGUACAAUUAAAUGUUAUUUAGGAAAAAGUGAACUUUUAGAAUUCUUUAUUGCUAGCGUAAAUAAGUUCUAUAAUAGAUACUUCAACAAUACGGCUGACGAAUUCCUAAAAGAAUUUGUCUUUGCGUCCAUGUCUUAAUGUUCAAAAAUUAUUGACGAAGCGGGCGACUUUUUGCUUUGUAGACCGGAUAUAACAACAAUAACCUAGCCUCAAAUUAAAAUUGCCCUAAGACAAAAAUUUGGAUCGCGACUAAACAGACAAGUACUUUUACAACAACUCAAUUUUCUAGUACGCAACAGAAACGAAAAUAUUCUAGAUUUUAUAGAAAGGCUUAAAAUUUUAAAAACCCAUGUUUGCCUCAAGAUAACAAGUGACCAAACAAUUGGUCAAGAAACUAAGAAUGCUCUUAUCGAACAACCAGAAAUCACAUCCGUAAGUGUUUUAAUGUCUAACCCAUGGACCUAAGAACUAUUUUAAUGUUUAGAAAUCCACAAAACCUCGAACAAUUUAUACUUGAACAACAAAUCAAAACUCGUUCAUUUAUGCCCACCCAGACCAAACCUAUUUCUCAACCGCCGAACCCACAAAAAUCAAUGCCCCAACAAAGGCAACCCACUCUAACCUCUAAUAAUUUUCCCCCACAAUUACAAACAGAUUACCAAUACAAUUUUAACUACCACCAACCUAUGACAUACCCGAAUAACCUUGCUGUAACUCCUCAAAACUACAAUCAACCAACCGCAAUUCAAUCUCAAAGAAACGAUAAUGCAAAUAGACCUUUUCCUAGCUGCCCAGUAAAUAAUCAAAGUCGGCCAGCUCAGCAUCAAUUCCCCAUAAAAGAACAGGUUUUCGGAAAAUCAAAAAAUGUGUUUUCAAAAGAAAAUUCGAAUAAGCCAACUGGAUCUCCAAUACCCAUGUUCACUACGAGCCGAAUGCCGUCGCUACAAUCAAGAAAUUAUAGAUCUCAACAAUUCAAAACACCCCAACAGUUUCAAAACAGAGCACCUUCUCCAAUAAACCACUCAUCCUAAAAAUCUUUCAAAAAUAUUUUGCCCCUAACUCUUUUACUUUAUACAUUUUUAACACUCUACUUGAAGACAUAAUAGACCCCGAGGAACAACAACUUAAAGUACAAUAUUACCAUGAAACAAAGACAUCUCACCGUGGAAUUCAAGAAAAUAUAGUAGCUAUAAAGAAACAUUUUUACUGGUCAAACCUUGAAAAUUACGUAAAAACAUACGUAAACUUGUGCGAAUUAUGCCAAAAAACAAAAUAGGAAAGACAUCUAAAAAAAUUAGUCUUCAAACCCACCCCUCUUGGUUAUGAACCAUUCGAUCACUUAUACAUUGAUGUAUAUAAAACACAUAAUACUUCAUUCCUAACCAUCAUCGACAGUUUCUCAAAAUUAGGUCAAGCGUACCCCUUACUAACCCCAACAAGUAUAGAAAUUGCCAAUAAAUUAAUUAUUUAUUUCAACCACUAUGGCCUACCCAGAAAAAUUACGACAGACAAUGCUUCGACAUUUAAAAACGAGAUAAUUCAAAAACUUUUCUCUUUGCAGAAACCUUUGCAGCCUACAUCAAAUUGAACUUCACUAUUGUACCCCUCGAAAUACAAACUCAAACAGCCCCAUAGAACGCCUACACUCCACAUUGAGUGAAAUAAUCUUAACGCCCAAAGAUAAAAGGCCCAAAGAAAAUAUCAUCAAUCUUAUGAACUAUGCUAUUCUCUCGUAUAAUAAUUCGACCCAUAGUUCAUUAAAAUACACCCCUUUCCAAAUUGCUCGCGGAAAACUAGACUAUAAAAAUCCUCUCGAACUUUCAGAAGAACAAAAAUUCACGCAAUAGAUUCAAGAACACUCGGAAAAUAUAAAAGAAAUUAGCGUAGAUCCUGACCAACCCCUAUUUACUAAAACCUUUCCCCAAAAAUCAAAAGUAAAAGAAACUAACAAAUAAAAAAAAGUUGAGCCUCCUAUAACAACUAAAGAAAAUGUAAUUAUUUCUCAAAAUAAAAAUACAAAGAAAAACAUUCAUAAAAACGUAAUAAAACCUCAACGCAAAAUCGUUUCAGAUGAAGCACUACCUGGUCCUUCUCGUACUACGCAUCGUUACAACCUUAGAAAUAAAAAAAAUCUAUAAUCCUCUCCUUCCAACAUCUCUAGGCAAAACCUUUAUUACAAUUUCCCAGCUUACUGCUCUUUACCAUAUUAAUUUAACACAGAUAGAAAACUAUUUAUUUAAUAUAAAACACAUCCUAGAUGCCUCAUAUAAAACCCUAACGAACCCAAAUAAAGCAGAACAUUUUGCACCCCUAACAAGACAAAAAUGUUCACAAACAUAUCAAUUUUUAGAAUCCAUUCUAUCAAGUACCAAGUUGUUUCACAUACUACCCCUAAGACCGAAACGAGGACUAUUCAAAGCUGUUGGUAAAAUUAAUAAAUGGUUAUUUGUCUCUCUCGACUCAGACGACGAAAAAAGAUUCGACCAAUACUUUGACACUCUUAACCAAAACAAGAAAACUUAAAACAAGAAGUAAAUAAUAAAAAUAUCAUCUUGACCGGCGUUAUGGAAACCUAUACGAAAAGCAUUAAAGAACUCACCAAUAAUCAAAAAACACUUUCAAAUCAAUUAAAAAUAUUAGAAAGUUUAGAAGUAGACCUAACAAAUAUCUUAUAUGCAUCCCUUAUAUUGGAUAACAUAAUGUUUCAAUUAAAUACCAUAAACCAAAUUAUAAAUAACAUAGAAAACGCAAUAUCCUUUGCUCAUGGAAACAUAAUGCAUAACUCAAUAAUAAACCCAAGCUGUGUCACCGAAAUGAUAAAUAUUAUUACAAAUUUAUAUGUCGAAAAUCACGUCCCAAAAUUCGAUGAACCUAUUAAUUAUUACAAAUUCUUAUCAGUUCAAGUAAUCAUAAUAAAUAAAAUAGUUUUAUUUUCUAUUCACACACCAAUUACCUCUCCAAAAGAAUUCACACUAUACAAAAUAUACCCCAUCCCUAUCCUAAACCAAACAAUCUCUCUAUCCAACCCUUAUAUUAUGCUUGCGAAAAACGACUACGGACUUCAAAAGAAGAGUGCCCCCAAAUAGAAGACAUUUUUGUAUGUAAACAAAAUGCACUAUACAAAGACGAUCCAUGCCUAUAUCAACUAUUAACUACGACCAUAAACAAAUGCCCGGUAAUAAACGUCUACUACAAGAAAACAAGCAUCCACCGUCUCAACGGAGAAGAAAUCCUUGCGAUACCAUCUGGAGAAACCAUUAUACGAAGCCAAUGUCAACAAAGACUACACAAAAUCAAAGAGGCCAGCAUUAUAACCAUACCGGACUGCCCUAUCGAGAUAGAGAACAAAAUCUACGUGAAGGAGAAGAAAACAGAAUUUCAGUAUGUGAUGCAGCUACCGAAAUUCUCAGACAUAGGCUAAAAAAUUCCUAUGUCAAACCUUCAACUAGAAGAGGUGAAUUUGGAAGAAUUGGCUGUAGCUCAAAAAACGUUGUCUUCAGUCAACCUUCAUCUCAUCGAAACCUCCACCACAAAUUACCACUGGAUAACCCCCACAGAGAUGCUAGCCAUUCUCAUCCUAUGUGCAAUGGCUUAUGGCUCAUGGAAAUAUAUGCAGAGGAAGAAGCAGCCUAAGAAAGAACACCCCGAUGCCCGGAUUCCUCUUCGCAAAACAAAGUAACCCAUGUUUUCCGAACUUGAGGAGGGAGGAGUUAUGUGACCCAGUUCCAGUACAACCCGGACAUCGACCUCAAGCUUCUGAAAGUGCUUAUUUUAUAUUAUUGUUAUGCUUAGUUUAUAUUAUUUUUUUAUACUACGAUUAAUCGAUAUUAGAUAUAGAAAAACACUCCAUAAUUAAUUCUCGUCUUGAACGUAAUUAUUUUUUGGUUGUCAUAUUUAAUAAAAUUAGUUUUUUAAAAAGUGUAUUUUCAAUAUAAAAUAUAUAACUCACGUCAUAAUUCAGAAGCCAAUGUAAAGUUUUUCUGAUUUUAUAGGCUACAAGUCAGCAUUGUAUUUUUUUACUUUGGCGGAUGGUAUUUAAAUUUAACUUGUAAUCUUUUAUUUGCCGGCCCCGGCAGCGCGGUGGGUAUAUACCUGCCUAGCAGUCGUGUGGCCCUGGGUUCGAGUCCCAGACUUGGCAUGGUCGUUUGUGAUAUCCGAUUGAGUUUUAAAUACUAAAAAUAAAUAAAAAAUUAUAUAUAAAGGCUUUUCGUGACUAAAUGUGCUCAGCACAAGGUCAAUAAAUGAAUUUAAAAAAAAUAAAAAAUCUUUUA